AGGCUGAAAUUCGCCUACAUGAAGCCGGAAUUGCUAGUAAUGGCAGGUCAGCAUACUGCCGUGAAUACGUUCCCGGGCCUUGUACACACCGCCCGUCACACCAUGAGAGUUGGGGAUACCCGAAGCCUGUGAGCCAACUAUAUAGAGGCAGCAGUCGAAGGUAGAAUCAAUGAUUGGGGUGAAGUCGUAACAAGGUACC
rnacentral:rRNA from 1 species